rnacentral:misc_RNA from 1 species
UUCUCGAUAAAUAUACGAUUAAAAUAAAAUAUUUUAUCUUUUCCAAAAGGUACAGUUUCUAAUUUACAAUUCCGUUUAAGAAAACAUUAUUUAUUUUUAAUAACCCAAAAUUAAAUAUCCAUCGAUAUUCCCUCUUAAAAUAGUUAAACAACCCAAUAAUUAACUAAUUUGUAUUAGCUUAAUUAUCUACAUAAUCAUCGCUUUUAGUUAAUUAGUUCAUGAACUCAUCACUCCUUAGUUGUUGUUGUUGUUGUUCUUUGAUAACCGUGAUAAUAGAAACUGAAAAUUAAAGAUGUAAAGGAGUGAGUGGAUUACCUGUACAUAGACUAGAGGGGAGAA